ACACAAGUUCACCAGCUUCCAACCGGCAAUAAAUGGAAAGACGAGGAAGCAGCUUCAUCAGUGUCUUCAGUCUGUUGGACAGACACUGUCCGCUUCACCUGUAGUAUCUCCGGUGGAAAUGGUCUCAGAACAAGUGAACUCCUUUUAAUCAAGUUGGGUCCAACAAAGGUCUUCAAAGAAGUCACACCUAGACCGGACUUGGAUCAGGUAAUUCCGGCAGACAUCAAACUACCAGAUGACCACGUUGUAACAUCAGUCUUGAAUGUUUCUGUUGUAAUGUGAUUUUUUUUUUUUACCAUUAAAAUGAUCCUGUACUGUAUUUUCUCUGUUUAAUCAAAUAAAACUCUGCAUCUUAAACAUUUUCGAUUUGUUACUUCACUCUUCAAACCUUUCUGUAGAAUAAACAACAGUAUAUAAUUGAUAAGGACACUCUGUCCGAGGGCUGCAACCGAUGACUUUCAUUAUCGAUUAAUCGUUUAGUCUGAAAUGUUAAAAAUGGCUACAGUGAUGUCUUCAGGUUGUCUGACAGCCUAAAACCUUCAGAUAUUUAA